UACGUAGGUGGCAAGCGUUGUCCGGAUUUACUGGGCGUAAAGAGCGCGCAGGCGGUCGGAUCAGUCGAAUGUGAAAGCCCCCGGCUCAACUGGGGAGGGUCAUUCGAUACUGUCCGACUCGAAGGCAGGAGAGGGAAGCGGAAUUCCCGGUGUAGUGGUGAAAUGCGUAGAUAUCGGGAGGAACACCAGUGGCGAAGGCGGCUUUCUGGUCUGCUCUUGACGCUGAGGCGCGAAAGCUAGGGUAGCAAACGGG
rnacentral:rRNA from 1 species